rnacentral:rRNA from 1 species
UACGGAGGGUGCGAGCGUUAUUCGGAAUUACUGGGCGUAAAGCGCGUGUAGGCGGGGAUGCAAGUCUGAUGUGAAAGCCCCGGGCUUAACCUGGGAAGUGCAUUGGAAACUGCAUUUCUUGAGUGCUGGAGAGGAAGGGGGAAUUCCCGGUGUAGAGGUGAAAUUCGUAGAGAUCGGGAGGAAUACCAGUGGCGAAGGCGCCCUUCUGGACGGCAACUGACGCUGAGACGCGAAAGCGUGGGGAGCAAACAGG